AUGUGGCAAGAGUGAAGAGCGAAUUAGAUUUGGGAAGGGAGAGACUUCCCAGUGAACUCAACUUUGGGAUGCUUAUUGAUAUUCUGACUUGCUACUA